rnacentral:lncRNA from 1 species
GUCCAGGAAGGCUUCCUAAGGAGGGGACCUGAAAGCUCAGCCCAAGGAAAGGGAAUGGAGGGCAGGCGGGCAUGGUGAGAAGCCUCUGGCUGGGAGCAGUGUGGCCAUCCUUGCAGCUGGCAUGUGACAAGGAAGGGGCAUGGCCGUAGGUGAGGCCAGCAUGCACCUGGGCCCUGCUGAGGCGAGGGCCUGCAGAGGGGACUGACGGAUGCAUCCCGGGGUGGGGGCCCAGGCCUAGCUCAACAGGCCUCACUCGUGCCUCCCCUGGCAGGCUUCUGAGCUGGGCUAGACACGCCUGCCCUGACGGCAUCUUGCUCUUGUUGCAGAUGGUGACUCCAAGUAUGGGGCAGAUCCAGGAAGGAACAACAGGGGCCCUUCCAAUGGGGCAUCAGGCAGGCCAUGGACGUAGCAGAUGCGACAAACUUGUGACCAACUCCACCUCCUGCCCCAUGGCAGCUCAUAUUCCUGCCUCCCUUGCUUGCUUUCCAGCCCAUGACCCUGUUUCUGCAUCGGAGUUCAGCAUCUUGGCGUAUUUUGCACAUUACUUCCGGGUCUGCUCUGGGAGGCAGUGCCUGUUCCAGAUGUUCUCAGAAUACAUUUGCCCAUCAUUGAAUGGCAUUGAGCUUACAUGUGUGAGUCACAGUUUUAACCACUCGAUGGCCUUAAACUGCAUGUGCUGAAGCCUAAACGUAAGCCAGGGAUGAGGUUGGGGGCUCAUGACA